rnacentral:rRNA from 1 species
AGCGAACGCUGGCGGCAGGCCUAACACAUGCAAGUCGAACGGACCUUUCGGGGUUAGUGGCGGACGGGUGAGUAACACGUGGGAACGUGCCUUUAGGUUCGGAAUAGCUCCUGGAAACGGGUGGUAAUGCCGAAUGUGCCCUUAGGGGGAAAGAUUUAUCGCCUUUAGAGCGGCCCGCGUCUGAUUAGCUAGUUGGUGAGGUAAUGGCUCACCAAGGCUACGAUCAGUAGCUGGUCUGAGAGGAUGACCAGCCACAUUGGGACUGAGACACGGCCCAAACUCCUACGGGAGGCAGCAGUGGGGAAUUUUGCGCAAUGGGCGAAAGCCUGACGCAGCCAUGCCGCGUGGAUGAUGAAGGUCUUAGGAUUGUAAAAUCCUUUCACCGGUGAAGAUAAUGACUGUAGCCGGAGAAGAAGCUCCGGCUAACUUCGUGCCAGCCGCCGCAGUAA